rnacentral:rRNA from 1 species
AGAUUGAACGCUGGCGGCAUGCCUUACACAUGCAAGUCGAACGGUAGAGUAGCAAUACUUGAGAGUGGCGAACGGGUGAGUAAUAUAUCGGAACGUGCCCAGUCGUGGGGGAUAACGUAGAGAAAUUUACGCUAAUACCGCAUACGAUCUAAGGAUGAAAGCGGGGGACCGUAAGGCCUCGCGCGAUUGGAGCGGCUGAUAUCAGAUUAGGUUGUUGGUGAGGUAAAAGCUCACCAAGCCGACGAUCUGUAGCUGGUUUGAGAGAACGACCAGCCACACUGGGACUGAGACACGGCCCAGACUCCUACGGGAGGCAGCAGUGGGGGAAUUUUGGACAAUGGGCGAAAAGCCUGAUCCAGCAAUGCCGCGUGAGUGAUGAAGGCCUUAGGGUUGUAAAGCUCUUUACCCGAGAUGAUAAUGACA